rnacentral:misc_RNA from 1 species
AAAAACCAAUGAGUCUUCAGACUCGUGCUGGGCUCCGCAUCCGAUGCGUUGCCUCGAAGCCAUGGUCUAACCUGCGGACGACUCCAAUCGGACCUGCCGUGGUUUGGCCCGGACAUCUGA